UACUGACCUCAGAGGGCUCUGUGAGGUCACAAAAUGGGGCUUACCUGGGACUUGGCCCCAAGCCUCCUCAUAUAAGGAAGCCCCAGCCAGGCUGGGGUUCAGAUAACAUCUCCUGGCAGACCAGGCUAGUUGGGGUUCCCUGCACCUGGGCUCUGCUGGGGCUGGGACCUGUCCCCUCCUCCCCUUCCCCUCCCCCCCCACCCCUGGACACCGGGCUUCCCCCCCGCCAUGGUCCGCUACAUCCGCUACCUCAGUCGCUACCGCGGCCAGGCCAGGAGGAGGAGGGGGAAGUGCCGGCCUUGUCGGAAGAAGCGGACCAGGAAGUCCCAGAGAUGCAGGAGACGACCGAGGACCAACUGCCACUACCACUACCGUAGGAGUGUGAUGUUCUGAAACUCUGGAGGCCUGACGGGAAGCACCCUCCCCUCCCCCCUGCCUCCAACCCACCACGGGGAGGGGAGGAAACGACCCUGAAGAUGACCCCCUCUGACCCUCUGAAGAAGCCUCCCUCCACCGACAACCCCCCAGCUGCAGCCAUGCUGAAGGACGGGAUCCCCGGAACACCUCUGCAGCUUCAAGCCCCAAGACCCCCAAAACCGACCCAGCAUCAGCAGCCCCCAAUGAUCAAUAAAAUCUGAUCACUGCAGCUCUCAA